UUUCAUAAGAUAACCGAUAACCUAAAAAUUUUGAUUGGAAAAAAUAUAAGAAAAAAUAUACAUCGAUAAGGGGGGGUGUGGGAAAUGGAAAUUAGUGGCUUUUCUGCUGUACUGUCUGCUAGUCCUAGUCAAAUCACACAACACUUUUUUCUAUGCUGCUAGUUUUUGCUCUGGGCUCUGGCUGGAUCUCUUGUUUAAACAAUUUUAAUCAGCUGGAAGUGGCCUACAAAAAAAAAACCAAGAAGGAAAUGUAUAGCCUUGUGGCUAUGAAAGGCAAAAGAGAGAUAUAAAAAGUGUAUUGGCUAGUUGGAAGAAAGUCCACAUUGUCCAUGCAUAAUAAGUUAUUACUUUAUCAACAAAUAUCAAGAAGAUAGCAGGGUCACGAGCAACAACUUCAUAAGUUCAAGAAUAUCGAGGAAAUCCAGCUCCUCGAUACUACUGGG